rnacentral:lncRNA from 1 species
GCGAUAUUUAACGGAAGUUGAGCAAGUGAAGAACCUGGGAGAGCAGCUUCGAUGCCUUUGCUGAGGGGUGACGUACUUCACGUUGCUCCCUUUCCGUCUGCUUUGUACAUCCUGUAAACUACCUGCCUACCGACUCGCCUCCUUUCCUUCCGCCCCCGCACCUACCGGUUCCUCGUUACCAUUUUCUCUGCCCCGAAGUCCUCGGUCUCGCUCAACCUGCUCCUCCUCCUCCUCUGUCCUCCAUUCAGUUUAGGGUGCCGCUUGCCAGAAACCCAGAAUUGUUGCCAACUCGUCUUUCUCUGUCAUCUCUCCUGUAGUUUUUGCAAAUCUCUUGUUUCUCUCCACUGUAGUAGUGAUAAUGAUCACAUUGAUAGUGGUGAUGAUAAAGAUAGUUACUGUUUAUAUGUGUAGGGUUAUAUAUCUAUUAUAUGUAAUAGAUAUAAAAUAUAUAUUAUUUUAAACAUAUAUUCUGUAUUGAGUUUUAGGUGAAAAGCGCUUAAAACAGUUUGGUUUUUGGGCCAGGGGAGCAUUGCCAUUUAAAAACUGCUUUCAGUUUAUAAUGCAGGGAACUUUCAGAUCAUCUUUAUAGCAGAACCCUUUGAGGGGGCCCCUUUCCUUUGUAUGGAUGUAAGUGAGUCAUCUUCAGGGACGAACAGUGGUGUCUCUCUUCUCUUUGAUUUACUGCCAUGAAGUUUGGGCGAUGCUGUAAUACCUUGUUUGUAUGAAGAAACUUCCAAUCCCCAGAGUGACCAAGAGAGGAAUUUCCAGUGGGAUGCUGGCAUCAUUUAAUGGCUGGCUCUCCAGAGACAAAAAGCUCUCUGCUGAUUUCCAUGGUAUAAGUACUCUCACAGUGGCUAAUUUUUAAGCUAUCAAUGUGACGUCACUGAGUGUGGAGCUGGGAAGAGUUAGGAAGAGAUGUGCAUAAUCGGCUCCCAAAAACCCAUAGGUGCCGGCUUCAACAUACGAUUGAAAUUUCCUUCCUACCAGGGUGGUGAGCAGCCCUGGCUGGAGGUCUCAGCCAGAGGAAGGAUGACCACCAACAGGGAGGCUCCCUCUCAAUGGCUCCGUCUCAAUCCAAAGACGUUGAGACGCCAUCAUUCCACUUACAAUGUAAAUCACUUCCUUCAUAGCCAAACAUUUUUAGAGAAUAAGAAUAUGUUAAACACCAAAACUCUAUUCCUUUUUGAGAAAAGCAAUAGAGAUGAGUUGUUCUCCCUGAAUAAGCCAGGGAUUCAAUGUUGGUGAUGGAGUUCAAUUUACGUAGGAUAUUUUUCCCACCAUCAUCAGCCUAGAGGGCAGGUCUCCUUGCAGAUGUCAGGGCAGCUUCAUCUGCGGCUAAAUUUGAAAACUCCCCUUGGAGAAUUUCAUAUCCCCUAGGUCACUGUACUCAGUUUUACAGUCCCCUUAAAGUUUUGCAGUCUGAAGGGCAUUAUCUGUGAAAAGUCAUGAAGUCUGUAUUGGUUAGAAUGAUUUGAGUACAAAUAACAAAGCACUUUGACCCAACCGGCUUAAAUAAUGAAGAAAUACAUUAUCUCCGAUAAUGAGAAGUCCUAAGGUAGGAAAACACCAGGGUUGGUUAAUUCAGAGAUUCAAGAAUGUCAUUAAGGAUCCAGAUUUCUCCCAUAUUCCUGCUCUGUCAUCCUUUGUCCUGUUUAUCUCCCCUCAUGGUUGUAAGAUGGCUGCCACUUUCUAGGCACGAAUGGCAACAGCUUUUGAAGAAGGACCAACUCUUCCAAUAGAGGAAAACUUUUCCAGAAGCUUCAUUGGAUAGAAUUGGGUCAAACAUCCUUUCCUAAAUCAAACCAUGUCAUAGAGACUGGAAUUACUAUGAUUAACUUAAAAUAAAUCGGAAUUUAACCAUGAGUUACAUUGGAGAGAGGUAAACACCCAGACAAAAUUGUGUUCCUGCUUGGUAGGCAAUUGUCAUCCCAAGGACUCUUCCACUAUUCUGAUCCUAAGAAUGUUGACGUGUACAGGUCAUUUGGUCCUUUUGGCUGAUCAGAGAUCCACUUGGAUCAGACCAAUGAACUUGAUCAGAAGCAAAUUAUGCUAUGUUUACUAAAUUGAUUAAACUCAAGAUCAGUUUAUCAAAAAAUAUUUGUUAAGGACCUAGUGGGAACCUGGCACUUAAAAGUUACAAUCAUUAAGCACUGGAUCUGCUGAUGAGUAGACAUGGACAACUGGACUUAGAGCUCUUAAUCAGCCAGCAGAAUAAGUAAAAAUUUCUUCAAGAUGAGGAGGGGUAAAUACUUUAAAAAAAUACAUGACUAUGGCUUUCAAUAAGGAUGCCAAGACAAUUCAUUGGGAGAAAGACCAGUCUUUCUAACAAAUGGAGCUGGGACAAUUGGAUAUCCACAUGCAAAAGAAUGGAGUUGGACCCUUACCUCACACCAUAUGCCAAGAUUAACUCAAAAUGGAUCAUUGACCUAAACAUAAGAGCUGAAAAUAGAAAAAAUACUUGGGAGAAAGCUUGUAAAUCUCAUGACCUGGAUUAGUCAAUGGAUUCUUAUACAUGACACCUAAAGCACAGGUAACAAAAGAAAAAUAAAUAAAUUGGGCUUCAUCAAAAUUAAAACUUCUGUGCUUCAAGGAUGCUAUUGAGAAAGUGAAAAGACAAUCCAAAGAAUGAGAGAAAAUAUUUGCAAAUCAUGUAUUUAUUAAGAGCCUAGUAUCCAGAAUGUAUAAAGAACUCUUACAUGGGCCGGCUCCGUGGCCGAGUGGUUAAGUUUGCGCACUCCGCUGCGGUGGCCCAGGGUUCGGAUCCUGGGCGCGGACAUGGCACCGCUCGUCAGGCCACAUUGAGGUGGCAUCCCAUAUGCCGCAACUAGAAGGACCUGCAACUAAGAUAUACAACUAUGUACCAGGGGGUUUGGGAAAUAAAGCAGAAAAAAAAAAAAGAUUGGCAACAGUUGUUAGCUCAGGUGCCAAUCCUUAAAAAAAAAGAACUCUUACAACUCAGCUAUAAAAAUACAAGUAAUCCAAUCAAAAAAUGGGCAAAGAAUUUGAAUAGACAUUUCUCCAAAGAAGAUAUACAAAUGGCCAAUAAGCACAUGAAAAGAUGCUCAACAUCAUUAAUCAUUAAUGAAGCACAAAUAAAACUUCAAGAUAUUACUUCACACCUGUUAGGAUGACUAUAAUAAAAAAGACAGACAAUAACAAGUGUCGUAAAGGACACAGAGAAAUUGAAACCCUUAUGCAUUGUUGGUGGGAAUGUAAAAUGGUAUAGCCACUUUGGAAAACCAUUUGACAGUUCUUUAAAAAGUUAAACAUAAAGUUACCAUAUGGCUCAGCAAUCAAUUUCAUUCUUAGGUAAAUGCCAAAAGAAAUGAAAACAUACAUCCACGCAAAAACUUGUAUACAAAUGUUCAGAGCAGCAAAAUUCAUAAUAGGCAAAAAAUGGAAACAAUCCAAGUUUCCAUCAGUGGAUGAAUGGAUAAAGAAAAUGUGGUAUAUCCACAUUAUGGAAUAUCAUUUGGCCGUGAAAAGGACUGAAGUAUUGAUACAUGCUGCUAAAUGGAUGAACGUUAAGAACAUUAUGUUAAGUGAAAGAAGCCAGUCACAGAAGAUUACAUAUUGUAUGAUUCCAUUUAUAUGAAAUAUUCAGUAUAGGUAAAUUCAUAGAGACAACAAGUAGAUUAGUGGUUGUCACAGGCUAAGAGAAGGGGAAAUGAGAAGGGACUAUUAAUGGGUAUGGGGUUUAUUCUUGGGUGAAAGAAAAUGUUCUCAAAGUAAAUAAUGGUGAUGACCACACAACCUUGUGAACAUACUAAGAACCACUGAAUUGUACACUCUAAAAGGUGUGUGAUAUUCUAUGGUAUGUGAAUUACAUCACAAUAAAAACAUUUAUAUGACUAUCUCAGGCCUUUGGGGGGAAAUAGGACAAAAAAUCAGCAAGCUAAUAAAUAUUGAGUUGGCAAAAUUUAUAAAACUCUUCUAUGAUUCUGAAAUUUAUACAUCCUAUUUUAUCUCCUCCUAUCUCCUUGGUCCAAAUGACUUAUUGUGCAGAUCAGUGGUUCUUAACCCUGGCUGCACAUUUGAGAAUCACCAUGAGCUUUAAAAAGAUAUGAUGCCUUGGCCUGACCCAUGGCCAAUUAAAUCAGUGUCUCUGGUCCCCCAGCAACUCUGGCAUCUUAUUUUAUUAAAAACUUCCAGGUGAUUCCCAUGUGCUGUCAAAACCAUGAAAUUAAAGAGUAGACCAAGAUCCAGGCAGCAGUGGGUCAUAUUACAACAUGAUUCUUUAGCUAAGUCCUUUUUUUUUUUGGUGAGGAAGAUUGGCCCUCAGCUAACAUUGGUUGCCAACCUUCUGCUUUUUGUUUUUCUCCCCAAAGCCCCAGUACAUAGUUGUAUAUACUAGUUGUAAGUCACCCCUGUUCUUUUAUGUGGGAUGCCACUACAGCAUGGCUUGAUGAGCAGUGUGUAGUACUGCGUCCAGGAUCCGAACUGGUGAAUCCUGGGCCGCCAAAGUGGAGUGCACGAACUUAAUCGCUCAGCCAUGGGGCAGGCCCCACUAGGUCUUUUUUCCCCCUUAAUUCAGGUUUAUUAAGAUAUAAUUUAUUUACAUUAAAAUUUACCAUUUUAAAGUAUACAGUUCAGUGAAUUUUGACAAGUGUGUGCUGUCCUAUGACAACCAACAAAAUUGAGAUAUAGAACAUCUCCAUUAUUCCCCCAAAUGUCUGUGUCUUUUAGCAAGCAAUCCCUUCCCCUCAUGUGUCAGAAGCACAUACUAGAAUACUAUGCAACAUUAAAGAGCGUGUCCUCGUAAGUACACGUAAGGAAAGAGAGAAAAAAUUUACUAUAUGAAGUCAAGAGCAAAGAGCAGAAAAAUUUCUAUAUA